CAAGAAAGCCAUGUCCCAGCUUGGACUGGCUUAGGGCAAGAACAAAGAAGGACACCCAGAGAGGGGCAGCAGAGCUGACUGAUGUUUGAAGGACAGUCCAGAGUGAAGAGAAUAGAACAGAGCUUAUUAUCUGACAUUGGACAAGCGUUAAUCACUUUCUAGGCAGUUCCAAUCUUGGGCAUAGAGAGUGCAAAGCCACAAAAUGUAAACCAACUCAUAACAACCUUCUUGCUCCUUGUUGGCACACAGUGAGGGCCAGUCCACCAGUCCCACCUCUUCCGAUUCUCAGGUUGAGACCCGGUUGAUGUUUGGCAGCUGUACCAGAUGUUUCUUGGUUUCAUACAAAAGGUUCAAGACGUAGCGAGCAUGGAGCUGCUACUGGGAGGAAGAGGAGGGAAGGAAGAAAACAACACUGAUAUUCGUGAGGGAAAAUGGUCCUUACCUUUACUGCUUAACAACCCCCAUCACCUAAGACCCCAAAAGUAACCCCAGUAAACUGCUCCUGGGACUAUGCACGGAUUCUUUCUUUAUCACUCAACUUCUGCCCUUGUUUCUGCUUCUCAUCAUUCCCACUUGUCCC
rnacentral:lncRNA from 1 species